AACGACUCUCGGCAACGGAUAUCUUGGCUCUCGCAUCGAUGAAGAACGUAGCGAAAUGCGAUACUUGGUGUGAAUUGCAGAAUCCCGUGAACCAUCGAGUCUUUGAACGCAAGUUGCGCCCGAGGCUUCUGGCCGAGGGCACGUCUGCCUGGGCG
rnacentral:rRNA from 1 species